AAAAAUUGUAGAUCGUAAAUUAAUUUAAUCAUUUGGUCAAUUGAAGUCCUAACAAAAUAAUCGACCACAUUCAAUUUCAUACUUGACUUAAGGUUCGACUAAUUAAUAAUCACUUCAUGUAAACACAACAUUUAACACCUCAUGCUUGUAGUCAUUAGCUACCUCUAACAUUAACUACUACAAAGGUGGUGUUCCAUUUUCUUAUGGCCAAAAAUAGUAUUGAAAGUUAAAU
rnacentral:lncRNA from 1 species